rfam:Oryza glumipatula chromosome 8, whole genome shotgun sequence.
UCUACGUGUAGUACCCUCUCCUUUCAUAUCUAAUUUUAAUCAUUUGUCUUAUUCGAAAUUCGUUUAUAAUUAGUAUUUUUAUUACUAUAAAAUGAUAAAACAUGAAUAAUAAUUUAUGCGUGACUUAUGUUUUUAAUUUUUUCAAAAAGUUUUCAAAUAAGACGGACGAUCAAAGUUAAGUACGGAAAAUUAUGGCUACACUUAAA